UACGGGGGGAGCAAGCGUUGUUCGGAUUUACUGGGCGUAAAGGGCGCGUAGGCGGUCGUGACAAGUCACUUGUGAAAUCUCCGGGCUUAACUCGGAACGGUCAAGUGAUACUGUCGGACUAGAGUACAGAAGGGGCAACUGGAAUUCUCGGUGUAGAGGUGAAAUUCGUAGAUAUUCGCAAGAACACCAGUGGCGAAGGCGGCUCACUGGCCCGAUACUGACGCUGAGGCACGAAAGCGUGGGGAGCAAACAGG
rnacentral:rRNA from 1 species